rnacentral:rRNA from 1 species
CUACGCACUCCUACGGGAGGCAGCAGUGGGGAAUAUUGCACAAUGGGCGCAAGCCUGAUGCAGCCAUGCCGCGUGUAUGAAGAAGGCCUUCGGGUUGUAAAGUACUUUCAGCAGUGAGGAAGGUGGGUAUGUUAAUAGCAUACUCAUUUGACGUUAGCUGCAGAAGAAGCACCGGCUAACUCCGUGCCAGCAGCCGCGGUAAUACGGAGGGUGCGAGCGUUAAUCGGAAUUACUGGGCGUAAAGCGCAUGCAGGUGGUUUGUUAAGUCAGAUGUGAAAGCCCGGGGCUCAACCUCGGAAUUGCAUUUGAAACUGGCAAACUAGAGUACUGUAGAGGGGGUAGAAUUUCAGGUGUAGCGGUGAAAUGCGUAGAGAUCUGAAGGAAUACCGGUGGCGAAGGCGGCCCCCUGGACAGAUACUGACACUCAGAUGCGAAAGCGUGGGGAGCAAACAGGAUUAGAUACCCUGGGAG